UGCCGCGUGCAGGAUGACGGCCCUAUGGGUUGUAAACUGCUUUUAUACGGGAAGAAACGCACCUACGUGUAGGUGUCUGACGGUACCGUAAGAAUAAGGACCGGCUAACUCCGUGCCAGCAGCCGCGGUAAUACGGAGGGUCCGAGCGUUAUCCGGAAUCAUUGGGUUUAAAGGGUCCGUAGGCGGGCCUGUAAGUCAGGGGUGAAAGUUUGUGGCUCAACCAUAAAAUUGCCUUUGAUACUGCAGGUCUUGAGUCAUGGUGGGGUUGCCGGAACAUGUGGUGUAGCGGUGAAAUGCAUAGAUAUCACAUAGAACACCGAUCGCGAAGGCAGGUGACCAACCAUGUACUGACGCUGAUGGACGAAAGCGUGGGUAGCGAACGGGAUUAGAUACCCCGGUAGUCCACGCCGUAAACGAUGGAUACUAGCUGUGGGGACUUCGGUCUCCGUGGCCAAGCGAAAGUGAUAAGUAUCCCACCUGGGGAGUACGUUCGCAAGAAUGAAACUCAAAGGAAUUGACGGGGGCCCGCACAAGCGGUGGAGCAUGUGGUUUAAUUCGAUGAUACGCGAGGAACCUUACCAGGGCUUAAAUGCAGGCUGCAUGGGGUGGAGACACCCCUUUCUUCGGACCGCCUGCAAGGUGCUGCAUGGUUGUCGUCAGCUCGUGCCGUGAGGUGUCAGGUUAAGUCCUAUAACGAGCGCAACCCCUACCGUUAGUUGCCAGCAUGUAAAGAUGGGGACUCUAACGGGACUGCCGGUGCAAACCGUGAGGAAGGUGGGGACGACGUC
rnacentral:rRNA from 1 species